rnacentral:rRNA from 1 species
UACGUAGGGGGCAAGCGUUGUCCGGAAUCAUUGGGCGUAAAGCGCGUGUAGGCGGUUCGGUAAGUCUGCUGUGAAAGUCCGGGGCUCAACCCCGGAAAGCCGGUGGAUACUGUCGAACUAGAGUGCGGAAGAGGCGAGUGGAAUUCCUGGUGUAGCGGUGAAAUGCGCAGAUAUCAGGAGGAACACCAAUUGCGAAGGCAGCUCGCUGGGACGUUACUGACGCUGAGACGCGAAAGCGUGGGGAGCAAACAGGAUUAGAAACCCCAGUAGUCC